AUCGACAUCUUUACAUGCAAAUGCCAUCAAAAGGACUUUUCCAAGGCUUGUAAUGAGGUUAGGCUAACAAGAAGAAUUGGUUUUUCUGGAAUACAAAGUCCUUGAGUUAAGAUAGCUACCAUGGUAUUCAAAAUGUAAGCACAACUCUCUUCCUCACCAAUUCCACUUAUUCCCAACUUCUUCCCUUUUCUUUUACAUUGAGCUCACUUUCAUGCUUUUCUUCAUUUCUUUUCUUUUUAUCAUGCAUUUUUCUUUCUCAACAUUUGAGCUCAAUGCUUUAAAAUUGCUUUUCAAUUUUCCCUCAUACAACCCCAAACUUGAAC
rnacentral:lncRNA from 1 species